rnacentral:tRNA from 1 species
GGUGGGAUACCCAAGUGGUUAAAGGGAGCAGACUGUAAAUCUGUCGUCAUAGACUUCGAAGGUUCGAAUCCUUCUCCCACCA